rnacentral:rRNA from 1 species
AUUGAACGCUGGCGGCAUGCCUUACACAUGCAAGUCGAACGGUAACAGGUUAAGCUGACGAGUGGCGAACGGGUGAGUAAUGUAUCGGAACGUGCCCAGUCGUGGGGGAUAACUGCUCGAAAGAGCAGCUAAUACCGCAUACGACCUGAGGGUGAAAGCGGGGGAUCGCAAGACCUCGCGCGAUUGGAGCGGCCGAUAUCAGAUUAGGUAGUUGGUGAGGUAAAGGCUCACCAAGCCGACGAUCUGGAGCUGGUCUGAGAGGACGACCAGCCACACUGGGACUGAGACACGGCCCAGACUCCUACGGGAGGCAGCAGUGGGGAAUUUUGGACAAUGGGCGCAAGCCUGAUCCAGCCAUGCCGCGUGCGGGAAGAAGGCCUUCGGGUUGUAAACCGCUUUUGUCAGGGAAGAAAAGGUUCUGGCUAAUACCUGGGACUCAUGACGGUACCUGAAGAAUAAGCACCGGCUAACUACGUG